UACGUAGGGUGCGAGCGUUGUCCGGAAUUACUGGGCGUAAAGAGCUCGUAGGUGGCUUGUCGCGUCGGCCGUGAAAACCUGCAGCUUAACUGUGGGCGUGCGGUCGAUACGGGCAUCACUGGAGUUCGGCAGGGGAGACUGGAAUUCCUGGUGUAGCGGUGAAAUGCGCAGAUAUCAGGAGGAACACCGGUGGCGAAGGCGGGUCUCUGGGCCGAUACUGACGCUGAGGAGCGAAAGCGUGGGGAGCAAACAGG
rnacentral:rRNA from 1 species